rnacentral:rRNA from 1 species
AGAAUCAACGCUGGCGGCGUGCCUAACACAUGCAAGUCGAACGAGAAAGUGGAGCAAUCCAUAAGUAAAGUGGCGCACGGGUGAGUAACACGUGACUAACCUACCCUUGAGUGGGGGAUAACCUAGGGAAACCUGGGCUAAUACCGCAUAAUACCUUCGGGUCAAAGGAGCAAUUCGCUUAAGGAGGGGGUCGCGGCCGAUUAGUUAGUUGGCGGGGUAAUGGCCCACCAAGACUAUGAUCGGUAUCCGGCCUGAGAGGGGCGCGACGGAACGACGACCUGGAACGUGAAACACGGUCCAGACUCCUACGGGAGGCAGCAGUGGGGAAUCUUGCACAAUGGACGAAAGUCUGAUGCAGCAACGCCGCGUGGGGGAUGAAGGCCUUCGGGUUGUAAACCCCGUUUCAGCAGGGACGAAGCGAAAGUGACGGUACCUGCAGAAGAAGCGCCGGCUAACUACGUGCCAGCAGCCGC